UGGGGAAUUUUGGACAAUGGGCGAAAGCCUGAUCCAGCAAUGCCGCGUGCAGGAUGAAGGCCUUCGGGUUGUAAACUGCUUUUGUACGGAACGAAAAAGCUUCUCCUAAUACGAGAGGCCCAUGACGGUACCGUAAGAAUAAGCACCGGCUAACUACGUGCCAGCAGCCGCGGUAAUACGUAGGGUGCGAGCGUUAAUCGGAAUUACUGGGCGUAAAGCGUGCGCAGGCGGUUAUGUAAGACAGAUGUGAAAUCCCCGGGCUCAACCUGGGAACUGCAUUUGUGACUGCAUGGCUAGAGUACGGUAGAGGGGGAUGGAAUUCCGCGUGUAGCAGUGAAAUGCGUAGAUAUGCGGAGGAACACCGAUGGCGAAGGCAAUCCCCUGGACCUGUACUGACGCUCAUGCACGAAAGCGUGGGGAGCAAACAGGAUUAGAUACCCUGGUAGUCCACGCCCUAAACGAUGUCAACUGGUUGUUGGGAAUUAUUUUUCUCAGUAACGAAGCUAACGCGUGAAGUUGACCGCCUGGGGAGUACGGCCGCAAGGUUG
rnacentral:rRNA from 1 species